AUUGAACGCUGGCGGCAGGCCUAACACAUGCAAGUCGAGCGGAUGGAGAGAGCUUGCUCUCUGAUUUAGCGGCGGACGGGUGAGUAAUGCCUAGGAAUCUGCCUGGUAGUGGGGGAUAACGUUCCGAAAGGAACGCUAAUACCGCAUACGUCCUACGAGAGAAAGCAGGGGACCUUCGGGCCUUGCGCUAUCAGAUGAGCCUAGGUCGGAUUAGCUAGUUGGUGAGGUAAUGGCUCACCAAGGCGACGAUCCGUAACUGGUCUGAGAGGAUGAUCAGUCACACUGGAACUGAGACACGGUCCAGACUCCUACGGGAGGCAGCAGUGGGGAAUAUUGGACAAUGGGCGAAAGCCUGAUCCAGCCAUGCCGCGUGUGUGAAGAAGGUCUUCGGAUUGUAAAGCACUUUAUGUUGGGAGGAAGGGCAGUAAGUUAAUACCUUGCUGUUUUGACGUUACCGACAGAAUAAGCACCGGCUAACUUCGUGCCAGCAGCCGCCGUAAUAC
rnacentral:rRNA from 1 species